rnacentral:rRNA from 1 species
GACGAACCGUGCGAACGUUGUUCGGAUUCACUGGGCUUAAAGCGCGCGUAGGCGGCUUGGCAAGUCGGAUGUGAAAUCCCUCGGCUCAACCAAGGAAGUGCAUCCGAAACUGCUGAGCUUGAGUACUUAAGAGGAUCGCGGAAUUCCCGGUGUAGAGGUGAAAUUCGUAGAUAUUGGGAAGAACACCCGUGGCGAAGGCGGCCAUCUGGACCGGUACUGACGCUAAUGCGCGACAGCGUGGGGAGCAAACAGG